CUCCCUCCGCCUACAGUAGGAGGGCGUGUCUGUACAAMGAAGAGGACUGGAUUGAUUUAUGUGCAGCGCCGCCUCCUGCCAUCACAGAUGAUGCAGUUCGAGAUGGUCGGGGGUGCAGAUGAGGGAAUAAGGAGCGGCAUCUCAGUUUGCACAUCUGAUGUGUGAGCACUGAGGGGGUUCCCAGUGACACUGGCUAGCUGCUUGACCACCUUUGUCCAAUUCGUCCUGUUGUGGGUGUAGAACGUCUGGUGCUGCUGGAGCGUGACAGUUGGAGUAACCGUUCUAGAUGAAGCAUUGCUAAAAAUGCACAUUGCUUUUGCCGUUUCUCCUGAUGGAAAAAAUAAAAUUAAAUUAAAAUAA